CGUAAAACCAGGCAAAAGGUUGGGGGAAGAGGAAAGAGGAAAAAAAAAAGAAAACAGACGCGGGUUGGUUUUUUAAGAAGCCCACUUCAUGGUUGAGGAGGAAUACAUCAGGAGCCAAGCAUUGUCCGUUCUGGGAUGAGUUCGUCGAUCGAUCCGUACAGCCUGUACGUGCCGAUGUGGAAGACGCGGAAUCUGUACGUGAAAGAAUUGAAGGGUACCUGAAAACAUCCUGAGAUCUGUGUCACAGAAAAAGGAUUGGCCAUAACUCUAGUCCACUGGGCAACAGUCAGGAAGACAAAACUGAAGGCUGGACUUGUGAACCAGAAGCCCCGGUAGCCAGUGGAGGCCAACUGCCAGUAGCUCAACACAACGACAGCAUAUGCUGCAGAUAUUCAGCUCUGUAAAGUCGUCCGACGCAAAAUUCUUCCUAAAUGCAAAAUAAUGUAAAAGUGAUUUGAGCCAUAGGAUGUGAUUCUAAUUACGUGUCUUAUUCUUAUCAAAAGCUUAGGCAAGGUUAGGCAAAAAUAGUGAUUAGGAGAGGAUUCGAGUAUGUGAUGGGGUUGUAGACAAGAGUAUGGUCAAAUUAUUGAAUAAUAAAUUUGGAAAUGUAAAAUUCAUUAAAA